AAAUUAUCCUCAUAAGUUAGACGAUAAGAGAAACCCAUUUUUUUAAGUUCAAAUGGUGGCACAGAAAAGGCCGCACCGACUGUUUCCUAAAAACACAAUUCAGAGCAAUGAUUAAGAUAAUAGUAUUCUGAAUGAAAUUUGCCCAAUGCCAUUAAUAUAAGAGAGGUAAUAAUUUGUUACUAAUCGAAAAUCUGGUUAAUAGCGGUCUUAAAUAUGAGGAUCCAAAGGUAGCAAAAUCAAUUGGCCUGUGAUGUGUAGUGGGAAUACACUUAAAUGGGUAAAACUAUCAAAUUCCGGGGAACCCCUAAAGCUUAUGAAACCAAGCUAUAUUCGAAAGUUUAUAAGUGGAUGAAGUAAUGACUCAUGUAAGGUACCAAGACAUAAGAUGAUGGAACCUGAAAUGGGCAAUCGCGGAUCUAAGUCAGAAUUCUUAACGCAGUCUGUAAAAGAAGCAACGAGUAAGACGGUAAGUUGGGUGGCAUAGCUAAACAAGACCCUAUGC
rnacentral:rRNA from 1 species